CUGCAUGGCUGUCGUCAGCUCGUGUCGUGAGAUGUCGGGUUAAGUCCCAUAACGAAGCGAAACCCUUGUCCUUAGUUGCUAGCGGGUAAAGCCGAGGACUCUAAGGAGACUGCCGGUGUUAAACCGUGAGGAAGGUGGGGACGACGUCAAGUCAUCAUGGCCUUUAUGUCCAGGGCUACAAACGUGCUACAAUGGCCGGCAUAAAGGGAGGCAAAACCGUGAGGUGGAGCAAAUCUCAAAAAUCCGGCCCCAGUUCGGAUUGGAGGCUGCAAUUCGCCUCCAUGAAGUUGGAAUCGCUAGUAAUCGCGUGUCAGCUACAACGCGGUGAAUGUGUUCCUGAGCCUU
rnacentral:rRNA from 1 species